GCAGCCGCGGUAAUACGGAGGAUGCGAGCGUUAUCCGGAUUUAUUGGGUUUAAAGGGUGCGCAGGCGGCACGUUAAGUCAGCGGUGAAAUGUCGGGGCUCAACCCCGUCACUGCCGUUGAAACUGGCGAGCUCGAGUACGGAUGAAGUGGGCGGAAUGUGAUGUGUAGCGGUGAAAUGCUUAGAUAUGUCACAGAACACCGAUUGCGAAGGCAGCUCACUAAUCCGCAACUGACGCUCAUGCACGAAAGCGUGGGGAUCGAACAGGAUUAGAUACCCC
rnacentral:rRNA from 1 species